rnacentral:rRNA from 1 species
GUAGGUGGCAAGCGUUGUCCGGGAAUUAUUGGGGCGUAAAGCGCGCGCAGGCGGUUCUUUAAGUCUGAUGUGAAAGCCCACGGGCUCAACCGUGGAGGGUCAUUGGAAACUGGAGAACUUGAGUACAGAAGAGGAAAGCGGAAUUCCACGUGUAGCGGUGAAAUGCGUAGAGAUGUGGAGGAACACCAGUGGCGAAGGCGGCUUUCUGGUCUGUAACUGACGCUGAGGCGCGAAAGCGUGGGGUGCAAACAGGAUUAGAUACCCUGGUAGUCCACGCCGUAAACGAUGAGUGCUAAGUGUUAGGGGGUUUCCGCCCCUUAGUGCUGCAGCUAACGCAUUAAGCACUCCGCCUGGGGAGUACGGCCGCAAAGGCUG